CAUCAUAUGUCGCUUGGUAUUGGAGACGUUAAAAUUAGGGUGGAAAAUAAAAUUAAGAUCCCGCGCUCUUAUUCUUCACUGUACACCCCCGCGAAAAAAAUUUCUUCUCGUCUUCUUCAUUCCGCCAGCAACCCAAACUGCAGCGACUCUCCCUCCCCAACUCCGGUCACUCAGCUUCACGAUCUCAUCAUCUCAGCUCCCUUCGGCAUCAACUCUCACUGUAACCUCUCUAGAAUCGCCUCCUUCUUCUUCAAAUUUCGGCAUCCUCGGCAAUCGCACGGGUUUGGGCAUAACAAAAGGCCAAUCGCAAAGGUGCGCUUUGGUUUAGAUAUUGGAAAAUCUGUUGGUUCGGUACAUAGAUUUGGAUUAAGAGAUUGAGUUCAGAGAUUGAGUUCGUGUCAUACAGCAGCAAGACCUGUGAUAUUGGAGCCUGUUAUGUUGGCAAAUUUGUGAAGUGCAGUGUGAGCAGCCAAACAAUUCAUUAUACACUUUCACAGGCAAUCUCAUUUUUCAGAAGCAAACUAUACCUCUCACCCCAAACCAACUCCUGCUGAGAGUAAG